rnacentral:rRNA from 1 species
GUGUGUAGGUUGGUCAUGCCUCUGGUAUGUACUGGUCUCACUGAUUCCUCCUUCCUGAUGAGCCGUAAUGCCAUUAAUUUGGUGUUGCGAGGAAUCUGGACUGUUACUUUGAAAAAAUUAGAGUGUCUAAAGCAGGCGAACGCUUGAAUACAUUAGCAUGGAAUAAUGAAAUAGGACGUUCGAUCCUAUUUUGUUGGUUUCUAGGAUUGACGUAAUGAUUAAUAGGGAUAGUUGGGC